AUUCACCGCUACCUGGCUGUAUCCGGAUCGAAAAGUCUAUUUCUACUUUUAAAUAUUUUCGUGCAAAACUUUCGCUUAAGGAAGGAAUCGUUCAAAUAUAUGUUGGAUAGCAAAAGUAGUGAGUUAAAAACUCCACGAAGGUCCACAGGAAUACCCUAAAUUGUAAAAUUAGCUCCAACUUUAAAGUUUUUGGCGCAAAGAGGGUAUCAACAGCAAAUUGGACAAGAUCACCAUACAGGACUAGCUCAACAAACAGUUUCGCGUUGUGUUUUUGAAGUUUGUGAAGUAAUUGAGAAAAUGCUGUGUCCAAAACACAUAAUUUUUGCAAUGUCUUCUGAAGAUAAAAAUGAAGCGAAACGAGCUUUUUAUUCAAUGUCUGGAAUUCCAGGAGUAAUUGGAUUGGUGGAUGGUACUCCCAUCAAAAUGAUACGACCGGCAGUUAAUGAGCAUUUAUAUUUCAAUAGGAAAUUAAAGCAUAGUAUAAACGCUAUGGUGAUAUGUGAUCACAAGAUGAAGAUAAAAGCCGUUAACGGUCGGUUUGUUGGGGCGUGUCAUGAUUCACAUGUGUGGAAUUAGUCAAGCGAGCGCCAAUAUUUCAAAACCAACUAUGUGAAUGGCGAAAUAGGAAUUCGCAUUCUUGGCGACCAUAUACACAUUCGUUAAUUUUACUCGUUAGCUUUAUAUGCAUCAAUUAUUUUGCUUACUUAAUUUUUUUCUUAUAGGCGACUCUAGACAUCCGCUUGAACCAUGGCUUUUAACUCCAUACAGAAAUGCUGCUGAAAACUCUGCUGAAAGUUACCACAACAUAAAAUUUUCAAGAGUAUUUGCAGUAUUAAAAGCGCGGUUCCGAUGCCUUUUAGCUGCUAGAGAACUACAUUAUAUAAUACCCAAGGAUUACCCUCCUUCCGCCCAACCGACGCGAGGGGCGCAAUCCGCGAACGAGCGGAAUUAGCCGAGUCAUAAAAGGCAAGAGAGUUUUAAGCGUUGCGAUCUUAAGCUGCUCAGCUACAGAAACAAAAAUUUCAACAACCAAAAUUAAGAAAUAAAUUAAAGUUUAUAAUUUUUAAAUGUUACUUGUUGAGAGUAGAUAAGAUAAUUUUUUUAAUGGUAAAGAGUGAAUCUGUUAGAUCAAAUGUGCUGGAAUGAGAAUUGAAAUCAUGACAUAUACGGCGGAAUGGUUCGUUUAACUCAAAAUUUGUUGUAGAAAAUUUUAAAAGUAAGGUUCUAAACUGCCUGGUAGAGCGAGCGGGGACGUUAAAAUUAAUACCAGAUAAGAGAGGUGGGCUACAGACUGACCCAUUCAUGAGUUUUACAAGAAAUAUUAUACCAAGCAUCUCCGUACAACUAGCGAUUGCCGGGAGAUUUAUGUAUAUGUUUUAAACGGUUAGUGCAAGGAAGUUUUAACUGGAAUCCCAAUGCAAAUGAUUUAAGGCAAAUGUUUUUGAACGGACUCUAACUUAUCUGAAUGGAUUUGGUAACUAGGGUUCCAAACCACAGAAGCAUACUCUAAUAUAGGCCUCACCAAAGAUGUAAAAAGAAUUUUUGUGGUAAGCGGAUCUCUAAAUUCUUUAGACCAACGCUUAACAAAACUAAGAACGCCUUUAGCUUUAAAACCGUGGAAGAUCCGUGAAGAUUAAAAUUGAGUUUGGGGCCCAUAGUUACUCCCAGAUCGACAAAACUACAUACUUGUUCCAACCUAAAGUUUUGUAUUGCGUAUGAAGUAGGGUCUACAGAUCUACGUGAAAAGCACAUCGUUUUACAUUUUUUAAGGUUCAAUGGCACGUCAUUUCUAUCAUACCAAGAAACUAGGUUGGUUAAGUCAGUUUGCAACUGACAUCUUUCGCUGCUUGAAGUAUACGUUUUAAAAAGUUUUACAUCGUCAGCAUAUAACAAAACUUUUGAAGACUUAACAACAGAUGAUAUGUCAUCAAUAAAUAACAUUGAUUAUGUCAGAAAACUGAUCGUUAAAUAUGACUUGUUGAAUUCUAUUACUAAGAAAAGAAGCAACACAUUUUAGAAAUAUGGGUUGAAAACCAAUAAGAUCAAUUUUAUUCAAAAGAAUUGAAUGGUUUACUUUAUUAAAGGCUUUGCUAAAAUCUGUGUAGUAUAUAACAUCAGUAUUCUUAUUCUCCCUAAAGCCCGUUAAUACAUGUGAUACAAAUUCAAGCAAAUUAGUUAUUGUAGAUUUCCCUUUACGAAAACCGUGCUGAGAACAAGAAAUUAGUGGAGAGAUCAAAAAGUUUAGGUAUUGCAGAUUAUGCCGCAGAAAAAGUGGUGCAAAUUUUGAAUUGUUGUACUCUUCAUAAUAUUUCCACUCUUUUUAAUGUGGAAUCACCUGCCAAUAUAGCAAUAGAAGUUGAAGAAGUCGAUGCUAGUUAUACUGAAACCAUAGAAAAUGCGAAUGAAACCAAUAGUGCUAAACGUUUAAGGGAUCAAAUAAAAAACAGUAUGAUUACUUUAUAAACAUAUAACACUAUUUAAUAAAGUAAACUUUUUAAUUUUUCACAUUUUCACAUUUAUUUGAUUAAAAUUCGCAUUAAUGAUAUAAAGUUUUAGUCUCUUGCAAAUGUGUAUACAUUAGGAUGUGUCAUUCUGAAGCAACCUUUUUUUUCAACUGAAAAACAGGCUCAAAACUUUCGAAAAUGUGUAAAAAAAAGUCACUCAAAAGAUGAGCUCUUAAUAUUAAUAUUAAGAGGUGCCUAUUUCAAAUUUUGUUUUCCAUAUAAAUUACAUGGAAAAAAAAUAA